UUGCUGGUCCUCCUCUUGAAGGGAAGGACAUAGAUCAGUAGGGUGGUUGUUGGCACAUAUUCCACAUGGCUUGGGCUGCUGAAUUUGCUGAACUUGUUGGGUUUGACCCACAACAAGGCUACGGACAACAUUGGUGAGAUCAGAAAUUUGGGAUGCCAAAUCAGAUGUACUCACCUCAUUCACUCUUCUUGAUGGCUGCUCUUGAUCUCCAAAUUGCUGAGAAGCUGCAGCCAUGGUGGAAAUUAAGUCUCUCAUCUCUCGAGCUGAUUUUUUCUCAAUUGAUCCUCCACAGGCUGCGUCAAUAAAUUUUCUUUCUGAGGGUAGCAAACCUCCAUAGAAGUAAUGAAUGAGAGAUUUGUCAGAAAUAUCAUGUUG
rnacentral:lncRNA from 1 species